GGACUUGUGAGGUAAUUGGAUAACCUGGCGGGCUUCGGACCCGCCUAUCGGGGUUCGAGUCCCUGCAAGUCCA
rnacentral:tRNA from 1 species